rnacentral:tRNA from 1 species
ACGUUGGUGGUUCAGUGGUAGAAUUUUUGCCUCUCAUUCAGGAGACCUGGGUUCAAUUCCUGGCCGACGUG